UACAGAGACCUCAAGCGUUAUCCGGAAUCAUUGGGCGUAAAGCGUACCGAUAGGUUGUUUUACAAGUCAGGGGUGAAAUCUCAAGGCUCAACUUUGAGACUGUCUCUUGAAACUGUAAAACUAGAGGGUAAAGAGGAAGCUGGAACGAACGGUGUAGUAGUGAAAUGCGUUGAUAUCGUUCGGAACACCGAUAGCGAAGGCAGGCUUCUGGGUACCACCUGACACUGCUAGGACGAAAGCGUGGGGAGCGAAUGGG
rnacentral:rRNA from 1 species